UACGAAGGGGGCUAGCGUUGUUCGGAUUUACUGGGCGUAAAGCGCACGUAGGCGGAUUGUUAAGUCAGGGGUGAAAUCCCGGAGCUCAACUCCGGAACUGCCUUUGAUACUGGCAAUCUAGAGUCCGGAAGAGGUGAGUGGAACUCCUAGUGUAGAGGUGGAAUUCGUAGAUAUUAGGAAGAACACCAGUGGCGAAGGCGGCUCACUGGUCCGGCACUGACGCUGAGGUGCGAAAGCGUGGGGAGCAA
rnacentral:rRNA from 1 species